UUUUAUCUAGUUUAAGUUAAAAUUUCGGCUUGUCAAGCCGUCGAUGGAGGUUAAGCUCCGAUAUAAG
rnacentral:tRNA from 1 species